rnacentral:rRNA from 1 species
CAGCGCCACAAGUGGGAAUCACAUUUAUUGGGCCUAAAGCGUCCGUAGCCUGUCUGAAAAAUCUCUUGUGAAAUCGUUCGGCUUAACCGAACGGCGUGCAGGAGACACUGUCAAACUAGAGACCGGGAGGGGUCAGAGGUAUUCCAUGAGGAGCGGUAAAAUGCUAUAAUCCAUGGAGGACCACCGGUGGCGAAGGCGUCUGACCAGAACGGAUCUGACGGUGAGGGACGAAAGCCAGGGGAGCAAUCCGGAUUAGAUACCCGAGUAGUCC